rnacentral:lncRNA from 1 species
GCUCCUCAGCUCCAUGUAGGCUGUGCUCGUGGAUGUGUCUGUGGUCAUGGUGACUCUGCCCUGGAGCUUCUGUGCAUAGUUUGUGUUACCAUUGUAAGCGCUGAUCCCUCCCAUCCACUCAAGCCCUUUUCCAGGAGCCUGUCGCACCCAGUGCAUGGAUAAUUCAGUGAGGGUGUAUCCGGAAACCUUGCAGGAGACCUUCACUGAGGCCCCAGGCUUCUUCACCUCAGCCCCAGACUGUACCAGCUGGACCUGGGCGUGGGUGCCUGUGGAGAGGACAGAGGAGUGGAUGAGACACCACUUAACUGGACCCAGUCCCCUCAUCAGCCCUGGAACUAAG